UUCCUUUGUCUCCUUCUUACAUCACCGUUGAUGGAACAAUCAUGCUGAAGCUCCUCAAUCUUCUUCCAUCCUCAUCUUCAAAACUCUUCUCACGAUACAUUCUCUCACUCUCCACCAAACUCCCACCACCGCUCACACGACCAUUCUCUCACCACCCCGCCACCACCACCAUGUCCAUAAACCUACGCACACACGCCUUCGCCGGCAACCCGCUCCGGUCCCGGACUCCUAACCGGGUCGAACCGUUUUCCCCUGCCGCGGCGCACGAGACCUUGAAAACGCGAAUUGCGGAGACCGCGGGCGAGUCCGUGUCCGUGAAUUUGAAGGUUUUACCUUUCAGAAACGGGAGGCCCCUGGCGUCUUCGGGCAGCAGUGACACGUGGCGGCUGGCGUGGUUGGGGUUGGAGGAAGUGAAGAGGCUGCUGGGCGCGAACCUGAGCGCGGACUCGUUCGUGUAUUUGGGGUACGACGCGGACGAGGAUUCGGUGUAUUGGGCGAUCGACUUGUCAAGGGAGAGUAGUUUGGUGGCUGAAUUUGGUGCCAUGAAGCUCUGCUUUGUCGAGCUGAGAACGCUCAUGGUUGCUACCGACUGGGUCGAUUUGAAGGCCAUGGGGAGCUUGGCCAUUGCCGGUCAUGCCAGGGCACUUCUUGAAUGGUAUAAUAUAUCACGAUUUUGUGGACAUUGUGGAGAGAAAACAGUGCCAAUGGAAGCUGGGAGGCGGAAACAAUGUUCAAAUGAAUCAUGCAAAAAGAGGAUAUAUCCACGAGUUGACCCGGUGGUCAUUAUGCUAGUAAUUGAUUCAGACAAUGAUCGUGCCCUUUUGAGCAAACAAUCAAGAUUUGUACCUAGAAUGUGGAGCUGCUUGGCAGGUUUUAUAGAGCCAGGAGAAAGCUUAGAAGAGGCUGUAAGAAGAGAAACAUGGGAGGAAGUUGGUAUUGAAGUGGGAGAAGUUGUAUAUCAUAGUUCUCAACCAUGGCCUGUUGGACCAAAUAGCAUGCCAUGUCAGCUGAUGGUAGGGUUCUUUGCAUAUGCAAAAUCCCUUGAAAUAAAUGUGGACAAAGAAGAGUUGGAAGAUGCUCAGUGGCAUAGUAGAGAAGAAGUAAGAAGAGCUCUGACAUUUACUGAAUACAAGAAAGCCCAACAAACUGCAGCAGCAAAGGUAGAACAAAUGUGUAAGGGAGUAGAAAAGACUCACAGCUUGUCUACAGAGUUCAAUGUGGAAAGUGGUGAACUUGCUCCAAUGUUUGUUCCUGGACCCUUUGCAAUAGCACAUCACCUUAUAUCCUCCUGGGCAUUCCCAGAUAAAGAUAUAAAUGGCAUUGAAUGCCGUUCAAAACAACCUAGUGGCUCUAUGUCAAAUUUGUAAGAGUGGCAAAUUAUUUUUCAAGACUAUCUAGGGCAGAAGUUUGACAUCAGCUUCUUUCAAAGCUUUCUCUGACUCCAUGUUCAGCAUUCUCUUCAUCUUCCAAAGCAGAAACACUGGAAAAUCCAUCCGUGUCAAAUCUCAUCACAUCCGCGGUGAGUGAGUUGUAGAGGGAUCCCACGUUUCGCUUCAAAUCCAUCCGUGCAUUUUACUUCAAGUGAACGCAUAACAAUUUAAAAUUAUCGCUCACCAAUUAGCGUAAACAGUGUAAUUACUCCAAGCGAACACUGCAUUAGGUACUUAGUCAUUAUGAUGAUUAUUCUAGAUGUAUUGUUUUUAAUGAAAAAUCAUUAUGAAUUAUUUUAUAUAUUCUAAUAUCUUUUUAAUAAAAUUAAAA